CCAUAGAGGGCACAUGUUCCCUAAUUGGCCUAGAGCAUAGCGGCUCAUUAUCCUUCUACCGCUGGGGGCGGGCGGUACUCGCUGCUCUGUGAAGCCAGCCUCACGCAAUGUCCGCCACUUUAGGUGUUAGGAUGCAAAGGUGUUCGCCAAGGCACCCGAAACCCACUACACAACUUGGAAUGGGUGGUCCACAGUUUGUAGCACUAGACCCAAGCACAUGCACCACGAUUGACAUCCACACUUCCUUAUUGCCCCCGCUCAGGUUACAAGCAAUCGCUACUUGCUCAGCGAGUUAAGGGGUUCAGGACUGCCUAUUUAAGGUGGUGUUGUACUCUUUGAGGCGGCGAUGUGGUAUUAACCAACAACAAAUAGUGUCAUGCAUGUGAGUUGCUAGUUGGCAAAGUCUGUUGUUGACCUAGCUAUGGGCUAUGGCUGAAGCACAUGACGAUAGAGUAGGCCUAUUAUGUUUUGUUGAUUUUGGGCCUUUGUGGACUUUAUGGUGAUGUCCAGAAAUUUUUUAUGUGUUUCCUCUUCCCAAUGAAGUGGAAAGUGGGUGCGUCAGAGAAGAAAGAAAGAGUGGCUAGCAUUGAUUUUAUGUCAUCCCCUUGAGAACAUUAAUCAAAAGCAGAAGCAACAAUAUUUGAUACAUAUACAACACAUGUAAUCCAUAUAAACAACUUUCCUUCAAAAAUAAUAUAAACCACAUGAUUAUAUCUUAGGUCGGUCAUAUCCACAAAGGGCAAGGACACACACCUAAGUUUGUAGUUUAGAACUAAGAGUGUCUACUCUCACGAUUUCUUCCCGACAUAUGCAAACUGGACACUAAUCACGUAAAGUAAAGACAUAUGUGGUAACACGAACGUAUAGCAUGUAUUUCAACCUAUAGAUUGUUGAUUAUUAUGGUAGAUUAUUUAAUAUAGGGAUUCCCGAAGAAAUACGUAAAAAUGAGAGAAUUAAAUUUUCCUUUUCAGAUUUGGCUAACUGGUAAAAGGAGUUGGAGUAUCUGAGUUUCCAAAUUUGGGACGUACAUGUAUAGAAGGAAUAUAAAUACGUUGGAAAUUUUUCUACAAGGCAAGGUUUAACACAAGUUGGGACAAGAAAAAACCAACGAGGCUUUGAUCGCAUGGUCACAAAACUAGAGACAAGAAACAUGAAGAAACCAAGGUAAUUAGUAUGAGAGUUUUCCAAAUUUGGUGUCUUGAUGUAGAAAAAAUAAAUAUAUGACAAACAUGUUUUUCUACAAGGCAUGGUAUAAUAAGUCGGAGUGAGUAAUAAAUUUCAUCAUAGAUUUAGAAGGAAGAAAUAUAUCACUAAAUAUGUUCUUUCAUAAUGCCAAGUUAAGCAGGUGGGGCCGAGAAAACAAUUCUAGUAAGGCUUGGUUGUACUAACCCCAAACUAGAUACAACAGAGGAAAAAUGAAAAAAUGUUGGUCUACCAAAUAUGGCGCAUGAGCCUUAAGGUGGACCUAGAGGGAAGUAGAAGAAAUAAAUAUAUAACUGAAUAUGUUUUUCGCAAUGCAAGGUAAAGUGUAGAUGUGCUCUAACUAGGCUUAAAUUGCAGCGACACGUUAUCCAUCCACAAAGCUUGGUUGCACAUAGAAAAAAGGUAAAGAGAAAAAUGUAGACGCAGGAUCGGUUGAAAACAUUCAAUGAAGCAUGAUUGCACGGACAUAGAACUAGAUAGAAGAAAAGAGUUAAUUAAAGAAAAAUAAAGGAAGUAAAUUUUCUUUUGCACACAAAGCAUGAAUGGAGUUGUAGUAUCUGAGAUCCCAAAUUUAAUUUGUUCCAAGAUGUAGAACAAAACUGCGAGACUCGUAAUGAUUACAUAGUGUAACACCCCAGGAUCCUCAAACACCCAGAAUGCUACUAAACUACACAUCUAACAGUCAUAUAUAAAAUUUCGAUAACAUCCCCUUUGAAAAUUACAUAAACGGGGAAGCAACAAAAUAUAAAUAGAUAUCAUGAUAAGAGAACAUAAUAGACAUUAAUAAUCUGCUAGCAAUGGAAAGACAACCAUAACGGCAUGAACUAAAUCAACCAGUGCGCACAACUAGUUAGAAACAACAUCCUUUGACAAGAAGUUUCUAAUUAAAUCCUGACUGCGCCUAAGCAGCGUUAUUAUGAGAGUGAAGGUGGAUGUGCUGCUACUUCCCACUUCCCUUGAUGAGCAACAAGCACCUGCAUUGAGUAAUGCAAGAGUGAGAUGAAACAUCUCAGCAAGCGAAUUAUUUUGACAAGAUAUUUAAACCACAAAUUGAAUUAAUCAACAUUUUAAAAGAAUCACAAUUAAGAUCAGAAAUUCUUGUAGAUAUAGAACUCAGUAGUCUCAAUAUAACCAAUACCAUCUCAUUUCCUUAAACAACCACAAUAGUUUGUAUAACACUUCCCUGCGUCAACAAUACCUACAAAUAUCACUUCAAUGUAUGCAUAGGAACACAAAGUGUAGUUACUCUGUCUUCAUACCUCUGAGGGUAUAAAACCACAUCAUAUGCAAAUAUCACUUCAAUGAAUGCAUAUGAAUGCAAUGCAUAUGUCAUCUGCCUUCAUACCUCUAAGGGUAUGAAGCCGCAUCGUACCCCUCCUCGGGCAACGUACGAUGCUAAGUUGUACCGGUACGGUCGGACCAUAGGUCACGACCCAACUUCAGAUGCAAGUGAAUCAUGCAAUGUAUAUGGCAUGCUGCAUUUAUCAAUAUACUUCACUUUCUUCACAUACAAUACAACCUCAAAUAAUACUUCAUUUACCUUCAGAUACAAUACCAACCUCAAAUAAUACUUCAUUUACCUUCAGGGGUGUGAAUUAAUCUCAUGAGUCAUACUCGAAUCAUAAUCAUCAUCAAUAUAUGAUUGAGCAUCAGUAUAAUGCAAGUAAGUAAAGCAUCACCAUAGAGUCCAAUUAUGAAAGAAUCCAAUACUUCUGAAUAUUAGAGUGUAGGCAAUAGAAAUAACAGGUCAGAACGGAAGCAACCACCGCUACAUUCACUUGCCUUCAUCGAAGAAGAAAAAUGUACUAGGCAUGAUCUGGAGUGUAGCCACCUGCUAGCGGGCAUAAAACUUAGUACAAAUAUUUCACAAACAUUUGCCAACAAUUAACAAAUCGAUCCUACACCUGAAACCAAGACCUGGGGGAAAACCUCCCACUCUGAACCACAUGCCAUACAACAGCAAUGUUGUUUGUUAAUUUUGUAUCUUUAAAAUUAUAACAGUGGUGAUAUCAAACAAAUACUCCAUGAGUAUCUACACAAAAUAUUCUACAACUUCGGUAUUCGAUGGAUAAUUAAAUUCUGCCAUCUAUAAGUUCUAAAACAUCUAACAAGAUAACUGACUGAAUCUAUUUUAGACAGCAGCAUAGUUAACUUUCAAAAUUCGAUAUCUCACAAACUACUCAACCAAAAAUCAUGAAAUUCUUCUGAAAGUAAGAAUUUUUAUCCCUCUACAAAAGUCUCCAUAGCUGGGAGAGCCAAUUCGGCCAUUUACUUGAUGAAACCUACCAGUGAACAGACCCGCUCAUUUCUGUUAGGCUAACAGAAACAGCCACAGUAAAACAAACAUAACUGGAGUUUCAUAAUUCAUAUGAAUGCACUCUUUAACAAUCUGGAAAGAUUAUGAAAUUAUCUACAUCUUUUCUUACAAACCUAAGGUUUAAUUCUGUUGAUAAAAUUGCCUAAAUCUUAAGAGAACAGAUUCUGUACAGAAUUAAGAGACUGAAAAACUGCUAUAAUCAAACUGCGAUAACUCUCUGAUCUGAUGUCUGGUUGAGGUGUUCUUCGCGGCCAUGGAAAGAUCUACAAAUUAUCUACGACUUAUAUAUAGACUUUUUAUUUUUUUGAGGCCUCUAAGACCACGGAAAACUGGGAUUAACAGAAACUGUCGAAUCUGCCAUUCUGCAGAAAACUAAAUUCGAGAUCAAAACCUAACCCCACAUCUAAUCCAACCUCUAAUCCUUUAAUUCCCAUGAUCCACAACCUCCAAAAGCACAUAAUUACAGGGAGGAACAAGGAUCUCAUCCAUACCUAGGGUUUCCCCAAGAAAUUCUGCAAGAAGAGAUGGGGAAGAACAUCUCCUUGAUCCUCUCUUCCCCUUCAACUCAAUGUGCUCCUCUUCUCGAUCCUUGUUGCGCGGGGGGAGAUCUAGAGGGAGGAGGAAGCCGUGGAGAGGGGCUGCCAUGGGAGGAGAGGGCAGCCAGCCCAAGGAAAAAGGAGAGAGGGGCGGCCAAGUGUUGGAGGAGGGGAAAGGGUUGGCGACCAAGUAGGGGCAAAAGGGGGAAAAGGCCACCACUAGGGUUUUCUUUGCGGGAGAAAAGAAGCGAUGCCACAGAUGACUCCGACUUAGCAUCCAACGGCCCACAACCCUUUUCCCACAUCCACGCACCGAAAAUCAACCUUUGGCAACAUUUUUUUGGGAUAUUACACUCUACCCGCCUUAAAAAGAAUUCGUCCUCGAAUUCGUCCACUCCAAACAAAACAUCCAUGGUACCCCAUAUAACACCACCAUUCCAAAACAUGGGUCCAUUAUUGGUCUUAAUUAACACAAGAACUUCGACCUCAGACUAAAUGUCUAAGGAAACUACACCACCUGACAUCAAGCAUGAACCAACAUGUAAUGAAGCUCAAACCAAGUCAUAGAUGCAAUCAACACUACGAUUUCACAACAUCGAAUUUGGAUGCAGCCAUACAUCCGCAUCAAUGUCUUAAAACGACACUCUUUGAUGAAGGGGUAAUAUGCACUAAGCACAACCUUUACCAACUUCAACAAUUCAUUUUAAUUUAAUGGUGAAACAUCCACACCAGAUGAAUGUAUAAGAAGAUCAAACACCUCACCUCACAGCACCACGAAACAAUUAGUUCUAUUGAAACAAAACUCCUAAUCUUCCUAAACCUUGUUCUUGCCAUAAUGAAAAUAUAAUCAUGUAAUCUAACAUUCUUUGCACCCCACCGAAAGGGAGAUAAUCUACAGAACUAAUGGAGCAAUAAAACCGACAAGAAGCCAAUAACAUUAUGCACGGCACAGUUCAUCGAAGAAAUGCCAAAAACUCCACAUAGAGCACAGACAGCCCAACGACAACACAAUACUUGCUUAACCCAUGUCACUAUACUUCAUCCAACAACUUAACUAAGAAAAAUAUCCAAACUAGUAAGGUUAACCUACACAUAAUAUAAGUCUUCAUCUACUGUAGUUCAGAAACUUACAUUUCAUUCUAUCAUAUGAUGCACUCCGAGUACCAGACAUAAAAGGUCAAUACUAGCCCGUAAUCCUUCACACAUUUAGAAAACAUCCCAAGCUGAUGUUAAAACCACAUCAUCUAGGAAUAGGUGACUAACCACACACAACCAACUCUAGGCUAAGCAAUGACUUCAUUCAAACCAAUAGAUAAGUGGUCCGACAAUGGCUCCACAAACAUGCAUCGGGAAGAGAACCAUCAAAUCCUCAACGUAUUAAUACAUAAUCAAUGGAUCAAGAAAAAUCAAAGAUUUAUUCUACAAUUAGCAUGACUAACAUGCAACCACUUUAAACCACAUCUAGGCUUUGUGGCUACUAAAACACACGAUAGAAGAGAGAGACAUGUAAGCCAUUCUGGCUAUGUAAAGACUUCCCCCAAAAAUCCAUAUAAAAGUACCAAUAUUCAUUUCUUUGAUAACUGGUUUCUCAACAUAAACAAUCAUUCUUUGUAAAGAUAGUUGGAGCUAUCCACCAACCGCUCAACAACUUAAAUUCAAAUUGAUGAUUACCUUGUACCCCAAAACACGCAAUUCACACUCCUCUUAGAAACAUCCUCAAUAAGGCAUAUAUAACAAUAUUAUUGUAAUAAAACUCAACCAUGAAAAACAUGGUGAAAACAAGAUAGGCAUACUUGUAUAUCACAAGCAUAAUAACAACUUCAUUCUCACAAAUGACCAGCGAUAUCUACAGCAUUAAACAAACAAUAUUAAAAUUUCAGAAAUAAAUUAUAUCAAGCAUUAAGCCAUAAACAACUUACCACAUCACCAUAAAGGAAUAGGGAGGGGUGAGGUUAUUGUCAUCUGCACUUCAAAGACACUAACAUAUAUCAAAGAUAUUUAAACCCAUACCCUUUCUAUAUGUGCGAGUGUGUCAAAUUUAUCUUCAAAUUGCCAAGAAUCUAAAGCCUAUGCUUUGAUACCAAUUGUAACACCCCGGGAUCCUCAAACACCCAGAAUGCUACUAAACUACACAUCUAACAGUCAUAUAUAAAAUUUCGACAACAUCCCCUUUGAAAAUUACAUAAACGGGGAAGCAACAAAAUAUAAAUAGAUAUCAUGAUAAGAGAACAUAAUAGACAUUAAUAAUCUGCUAGCAAUGGAAAGACAACCAUAACGGCAUGAACUAAAUCAACCAGUGCGCACAACUAGUUAGAAACAACAUCCUUUGACAAGAAGUUUCUAAUUAAAUCCUGACUGCGCCUAAGCAGCGUUAUUAUGAGAGUGAAGGUGGAUGUGCUGCUACUUCCCACUUCCCUUGAUGAGCAAAAAGCACUUGCAUUGAGUAAUGCAAGAGUGAGAUGAAACAUCUCAGCAAGCGAAUUGUUUUGACAAGAUAUUUAAACCACAAAUUGAAUUAAUCAACAUUUUAAAAGAAUCACAAUUAAGAUCAGAAAUUCUUGUAGAUAUAGAACUCAGUAGUCUCAAUAUAACCAAUACCAUCUCAUUUCCUUAAACAACCACAAUAGUUUGUAUAACACUUCCCUGCGUCAACAAUACCUGCAAAUAUCACUUCAAUGUAUGCAUAGGAACACAAAGUGUAGGUACUCUGUCUUCAUACCUCUGAGGGUAUAAAACCACAUCAUAUGCAAAUAUCACUUCAAUGAAUGCAUAUGAAUGCAAUGCAUAUGUCCUCUGCCUUCAUACCUCUAAGGGUAUGAAGCCGCAUCGUACCCCUCCUCGGGCAACGUACGAUGCUAAGUUGUACCGGUACGGUCGGACCAUAGGUCACGACCCAACUUCAGAUGCAAGUGAAUCAUGCAAUGUAUAUGGCAUGCUGCAUUUAUCAAUAUACUUCACUUCCUUCACAUACAAUACAACCUCAAAUAAUACUUCAUUUACCUUCAGAUACAAUACCAACCUCAAAUAAUACUUCAUUUACCUUCAGGGGUGUGAAUUAAUCUCAUGAGUCAUACUCGAAUCAUAAUCAUCAUCAAUAUAUGAUUGAGCAUCAGUAUAAUGCAAGCAAGUAAAGCAUCACCAUAGAGUCCAAUUAUGAAAGAAUCCAAUACUUCUGAAUAUUAGAGUGUAGGCAAUAGAAAUAACAGGUCAGAACGGAAGCAACCACCACUACAUUCACUUGACUUCAUCGAAGAAGAAAAAUGUACUAGGCAUGAUCUGGAGUGUAGCCACCUGCUAGCGGGCAUAAAACUUAGUAAAAAUAUUUCACAAACAUUUGCCAACAAUCAACAAAUCGAUCCUACACCUGAAACCAAGACCUGGGGGAAAACCUCCCACUCUGAACCACAUGCCAUACAACAGCAAUGUUGUUUGUUAAUUUUGUAUCUUUAAAAUUAUAAAAGUGGUGAUAUCAAACAAAUACUCCAUGAGUAUCUACACAAAAUAUUCUACAACUUCGGUAUUCGAUGGAUAAUUAAAUUCUGCCAUCUAUAAGUUCUAAAACAUCUAACAAGAUAACUGACUGAAUCUGUUUUAGACAGCAGCAUAGUUAACUUUCAAAAUUCGAUAUCUCACAAACUACUCAACUAAAAAUCAUGAAAUUCUGCUGAAAGUAAUAACUUUUAUCCCUCUACAAAAGUUUCCAUAGCUGGGAGAGCCAAUUCGGCCAUUUACUUGAUGAAACCUACCAAUGAACAGACCCGCUCAUUUCUGUCAGGCUAACAGAAACAGCCACAGUAAAACAAACAUAACUGGAGUUUCAUAAUUCAUAUGAAUGCACUCUUUAACAAUCUGGAAAGCUUAUGAAAUUAUCUACAUCUUUUCUUACAAACCUAAGCUUUAAUUCGGUUGAUAAAAUUGCCUAAAUCUUAAGAGAACAGAUUCUAUACAGAAUUAAGAGACUGAAAAACUGCUAUAAUCAAACUGCGAUAACUCUCUGAUCUGAUGUCCGAUUGAGGUGUUUUUCGCGGCCACGGAAAGAUCUACAAAUUAUCUACGACUUAUAUAUAGACUUUUUAUUUUUUUUGAGGCCUCUAAGACCACGGAAAACUGGGAUUAACAGAAACUGUCGAAUCUGCCAUUCUGCAGAAAACUAAAUUCGAGAUCAAAACCUAACCCCACAUCUAAUCCAACCUCUAAUCCUUUAAUUCCCAUGAUCCACAACCUCCAAAAGCACAUAAUUACAGGGAGGAACAAGGAUCUCAUCCAUACCUAGGGUUUCCCCAAGAAAUUCUGCAAGAAGAGAUGGGGAAGAACAUCUCCUUGAUCCUCUCUUCCCCUUCAACUCAAUGUGCUCCUCCUCUUCUCGAUCCUUGCUGCGCGGGGGGAGAUCUAGAGGGAGGAGGAAGCCGUGGAGAGGGGCUGCCAUGGGAGGAGAGGGCAGCCAGCGCAAGGAAAAAGGAGAGAGGGGCGGCCAAGUGUUGGAGGGGGGGGAAAGGGUUGGCGACCAAGUAGGGGCAAAAGGGGGAAAAGGCCACCACUAGGGUUUUCUUUGCGGGAGAAAAGAAGCGACGCCACAGAUGACUCCGACUUAGCAUCCAACGGCCCACAACCCUUUUCCCACAUCCACGCACCAAAGAUCAAUCUUUGGCAACAUUUUUUUGGGAUAUUACACAUAGGGACAAAAGUAGUUAAGAAAAAUAGCAAAAAGAUAGUGGUCUACCAUAGAGGGCACAUGUUCCCUAAUUGGCCUAGAGCAUAGCGGCUCAUUAUCAUUCCACCGCUGGUGGCGGGCGGUACUCGCUGCUCUGUGAAGCCACCUCACGCAAUGUCCGCCACUUUAGGUGUUAGGAUGCAAAGGCGUUUGCCAAGGCACACGAAACCCACUACACAACUUGGAAUGGGUGGUCCACAGUUUGUAGCACUAGACCCAAGCACAUGCACCACAAUUGACAUCCACACUUCCUUAUUGCCCCCGCUCGGGUUACAAGCAAUCGCUACUUGC
rnacentral:lncRNA from 1 species